UACGGAGGGGGCUAGCGUUGUUCGGAAUUACUGGGCGUAAAGCGUGCGCAGGCGGCUUCUCAAGUCAGGGGUGAAAGCCCAGAGCUCAACUCUGGAAUUGCCUUUGAGACUGAGUGGCUUGAGUACGGGAGAGGUGAAUGGAAUUCCCAGUGUAGAGGUGAAAUUCGUAGAUAUUGGGAAGAACACCGGUGGCGAAGGCGGCUCACUGGCCCGUAACUGACGCUCAUGCACGACAGCGUGGGGAUCAAACAGG
rnacentral:rRNA from 1 species